UCAUUGCAGGUCAUCAUCCAUAGUUGAUAGCAACCUAGUCUACCUUAGUUUGUCGCUCAGCCAUUGUUAGUCGUUGUCCACUACUGAUGAUAAUCUCCUUUGUUAAAGUCAUCUUAUUUGAAGUUUCAUGAUUGUCUACCGUUGUCCAAUAUUAUUCUCCAUAGUUUCUAGGAUUUCUCUCUCCUAUUAGUCUAUGGCUUCUUUCGUUAUUGUCUUUUUUAACCUCUUUCGUCAUUGUCUCUUUUGACCCACCCAAAUAUUG
rnacentral:lncRNA from 1 species